rnacentral:rRNA from 1 species
CCUACGGGAGGCAGCAGUAAGGAAUAUUGGUCAAUGGAGGCAACUCUGAACCAGCCAUGCCGCGUGCAGGAUGAAGGCCCUAUGGGUCGUAAACUGCUUUUACACAAGAGAAAACCCGAGUACGUGUACUCGGUUGAUAGUAUUGUGAGAAUAAGCAUCGGCUAACUUCGUGCCAGCAGCCGCGGUAAGACGAAGGAUGCAAGCGUUAUCCGGAUUCAUUGGGUUUAAAGGGUGCGUAGGCGGACCUGUAAGUCAGUGGUGAAAUCUCUUUGCUUAACAAAGAAACUGCCAUUGAUACUGCAAGUCUAGAGUAUAGAUGACGUUGGCGGAAUAUGACAUGUAGUGGUGAAAUACUUAGAUAUGUCAUAGAACACCGAUUGCGAAGGCAGCUAACGAAACUAUAACUGACGCUGAGGCACGAAAGUGCGGGGAUCAAACAGGAUUAGAUACCCUGGUAGUCCGCACCGUAAACGAUGAUUACUCGUUGUUGGCAAUAUGACCGUCAGCGACCAAGCGAAAGCGAUAAGUAAUCACCUGGGGAGUACGCCGGCAACGGUGAAACUUAAAGGAAAUUGACGUCUGAGACGAGCGAGACGACGACGAGGGAGGAGG